rnacentral:rRNA from 1 species
AGAGUUUGAUCCUGGCUCAGGAUGAACGCUGGCGGCGUGCCUAACACAUGCAAGUCGAGCGAUUUACUUCGGUAAAGAGCGGCGGACGGGUGAGUAACGCGUGGGUAACCUGCCCUGUACACACGGAUAACAUACCGAAAGGUAUGCUAAUACGAGAUAAUAUGCUUUUAUCGCAUGGUAGAAGUAUCAAAGCUUUUGCGGUACAGGAUGGACCCGCGUCUGAUUAGCUAGUUGGUAAGGUAACGGCUUACCAAGGCGACGAUCAGUAGCCGACCUGAGAGGGUGAUCGGCCACAUUGGAACUGAGACACGGUCCAAACUCCUACGGGAGGCAGCAGUGGGGAAUAUUGCACAAUGGGCGAAAGCCUGAUGCAGCAACGCCGCGUGAGCGAUGAAGGCCUUCGGGUCGUAAAGCUCUGUCCUCAAGGAAGAUAAUGACGGUACUUGAGGAGGAAGCCCCGG